ACACUGACGUCGCGACGCAUAUCAAUAAGCGGAGGAAAAGAAACUAACAAGGAUUCCCUUAGUAACGGCGAGUGAAGCGGGAAGAGCUCAAAUUUGAAAUCUUCAAGGUUUUACCUUGACGAAUUGUAGUUUAAAGAAGUGUUUUCUGCUGAAGUUUUGGUAAAAGUUCUUUGGAAUAGGACAUCAUAGAGGGUGAGAAUCCCGUAUUUGACCAUUAUUUUCAGCUUUGUGAUACACUUUCAAAGAGUCGGAUUGUUUGGGAAUGCAGUCCAAAAUGGGUGGUAAAUUUCAUCUAAAGCUAAAUAUUGGCGAGAGACCGAUAGCGAACAAGUACCGUGAGGGAAAGAUGAAAAGAACUUUGAAAAGAGAGUUAAACAGUACGUGAAAUUGUCAAAAGGGAAGCGUUUGACACCAGUGUUGUUUUCUCGAAAAUCAAUUAAAAAUGGCUCGAUUUUGUAUUGUUGAGACCUUAAAAGCUCACUGUACAUUUUUCGUGUCUUUUUUAAUGCACUUUUCGUUUAACAAGUCAACAUCAGUUUCUUUUGUUGUAAAAGAGUCAUUGGAAGGUGGCUUUCUUUUCGGAGAAAGUGUUUAUAGCCUUUGACUUCUGCAAUCGGAGAGAUUGAGGUCUGCAGCGUAGAUCCUUCGGGGUUAGAUGCAUUUGUGCUAAGUUAUAGCCUUUCAUAGACAACUUGUUGACUGUGAUCAGUCAUGUAGCUUACUCGCUUAUGUCAUUUUACCUACGCUUAGGAUGUUGAGCGCAUGUCUCUCUCU
rnacentral:rRNA from 1 species